AUGGCGAAAUGCUGGCUGCUGCUGCUGCUCCUCUUGGCGUUUCUCUUGCCGGCGGCGCACACUAAGUCAUGCCACCCUAACGACCUCCGUGCGUUGCGGGGCUUUGCCGGGAACCAUGGUGGCGGGGGCGUCCUUCUCCGUGCCGCGUGGUUUGGCGCCUCGUGCUGCGGCUGGGAAGGUGUGGGUUGUGACAGCAGCAGCGGCCGUGUCAUGGUGCUACGGCUUCCCGGGUAUGGCCUCGCGGGGCCCAUCCCGGGAGCCUCCCUGGCGGGCCUUGCGCAGCUGGAGGAGCUCUUCCUCGGCUCCAACUCUUUCGUUGGUUCCCUCCCCGAGGAGCUCUUCAGCCUCGCUGGGUUGCGGAAGCUCUCCCUCGAGUCCAACAAGCUUACUGGUAAGUUGAGCUCACGCCUUGGCGAGCUCAAGAACCUCACCUUCCUGAACUUGUCGGUCAACCGCUUCUUCGGCCGCCUCCCUGACGUGUUUGGUGACCUCAUGUCGCUCGACCAUUUGGCCAUGGACUCCAAUGGCUUGUCCGGAUCUUUGCCGCCGUCUCUGUCAUCACUGUCUUCUCUCAGUGAGCUCAACCUCCGGAACAACUCCCUGUCUGGUCCGAUUGCUCGUGUCAACUUCUCCGGCAUGCCACUUCUUGCUUCAGUUGACUUUUCCGCAAAUAACCUGAGUGGGUCUCUCCCAGUUAGCCUCGCGGAUUGUAGCGCGCUCAAGUCGCUCACCCUUGCCAACAACCAAUUGGUUGGCACCAUCCCGUCGUGGAUUGGUGAGCUUGACAACCUUCGCUGCUUGGAUGUCUCAAAUAAUUCAUUGGUUGGCGAGGUACCGAAGGGUUUGACAUGUCUCAAAUGCCUCGCCACCGCUGAUCGUUCAGUGGGUAUGGCUUUCACUAACAUGCCAUUGUAUGCGAAGCGUAACAGAAGAGUACUCCAACAACAACCAAAUGUCUUAUCUGGGAGCAAUAAUACUGUCAGAUCGGGGGGUGGCAAUGUUCUAUCCGGAGACAACACUGUCAUAUCUGGGAACAACAACACUCUAUCUGGGACCAACAACACAGUCGUAUCUGGGAGCAACAAUGUCCUAACUGGCAGCAACCAUGUUGUAUCUGGCAGCAAUAAUGUUGUAAGUGAUACCAGCCAUGUCGUAAAUGGGAGCAACAAUACUGUAUCCGGGAGGAACAAUAUGGUAACCGGGAACAACAAUACCGUAUCUGGGAGUAACCAUGUCGUAUCUGGGAACAACAAAGUCGUAACUGGAGGUUAA
rnacentral:rRNA from 1 species